rnacentral:rRNA from 1 species
AUGGCCGGCAACGAGGGUUCCACCACCAAGCGCCUGCUCGGGCGGUGCACGGCCGAAGAGAGUCCCUCCAAGCCCACGCAGCAGAAGUCAGCCAUCGACGGGUUCGGCACGCCGGAGCGAUGCACCACCGAGUAUCCUUUUAUGAGAAGGAAGGCGAAGGAGGCAGAUCAGGAUCAGGAUGAAGAGCAGGAAAAGGAAAAGGAGAUCGAUGGGAUUCUGGCCACGGGAAAACUCCCCAGACACGCUGAUGUUGUGUCCGUGGCCGCCGCUGACCCUAUGGUGGCGGAGCAGGACAUCUCUAAGGCAACGGUUUCUGAGCCUCAGGCUGAGGCAGAGAUCGAGGAGCCUGUUCCUGAGCCUCAGGCUGAGGACCAGGAUGUUUAUGAUGAUGAGGAUGCCGAUUAUGAUUAUCAAGAUGAGUAUGAUGGUUAUUAUGAUGAGGAUGAGGAUGAGGAUGACUAUGAGUCUGAAUAUGAGGAUGACGAUGAUGAUGAUUAUGACUGGGAGUCUGAAUUUGCGAAGCACCGGACAGUGGUCAGGGAGACGCUGUUAAGCUUCCCCGAGGCCGCCAAUCUGGAACCUACAGAACUGGACGCCGCGGUGGAGAGGGUCCUGGAGCAGUCCAAGCCUGAGUACCAGGACGUGGCCGACCCAGGCAAGAUUCGUCUGCUGAAAGACGACAUAAGCCUGGUCUUGGCCCAGGAGAGGUUGCCCCCAAUCACCCAUGACCUUCCUUCCACAAUAUACCCAGCUGAUAUGAUCCAGAAAAGCAAGGAGCUGGACAAGGAAUUGCUGCCGGUGUACAAGAAGGCCGAGGACAGGUUUGAGAAGUUUCAGGCCAAGGUCCGCAAGGAUCUGAUCGAGAAGGGGUACGCCGAGGUUGAUGAGGACUACUACGACAACAGGGACAGAUUUUGGGAAGAGAUUGAGGAAGAGUGGAAAAAGAUUGACUUCAGCCGCUUCCGCAUUGCCAGCAGCGCUGACGGGAUCAUCCGUUAUUCUGGAGGACGUGGGGAUUAUAAACGAUGA